rnacentral:rRNA from 1 species
AGAUUGAACGCUGGCGGCAUGGCUAAACAUGCAAGUCGAAUGAAAAGGCCGCAAGGCUGAGUAAAUGGCGAAAGGGCGAGUAAUGCAUUUCUAACGUACCCCGGACUCGACAAUAGCCCAGCGAAAGUUGGGGUAAUAGUCGAUGAUGUUGUUGAACUGUAUGGUUUAACAUCCAAAGGUUUACUGGUCUGGGAGCGGGGAAUGUCCUAUCAGGUAGUUGGUGAGGUAAUGGCUCACCAAGCCUAUGACGGGUAGCGGGUGUGAGAGCACGGCCCGCCGCAUCGGGACUGAGACACUGCCCGGACUCCUACGGGAGGCUGCAGUAACGAAUAUUCCGCAAUGCGCGAAAGCGUGACGGAGCGAUGUCGCGUGCAGGAUGAAGCCCCUCGGGGUGUAAACUGCUGUCAGGGUAUAGCAAACAAUGAGCAAACCCAAAGGAAGAGACGGCUAACUCUGUGCCAGCAGCCGC